UCUGGCCUGGAUACAAUGUCCUUUUCCAGGUGUAUAACAAACUACGUAUUAUUUUCAUUUCAAAGGUUUUAAAUACUUGCAUGCAGCCAUCUCUAGAAUGUCAUAUGGUCUCUCUUCAACUGGAAUGACAAGAGCUGAAAGAAAUGUGCAACCAUGAGGACACCGUAACCUAUGAAUGAUGUGCUGAGAUGGGAAACCCAAAAUGAUGAGACCAUCAAACUUAUAAUCGUUCAACAAAGGUUCCAGCCAGUUCCAGGUGAAGACACCACCACUGGCCAUCAGGAAGCUACCCUGCCUCCACUAGUGGGAGCAGGGCGAGAGUUCUAUGAACCCCAAUAGGUAGGGACUACACUUGGAGCCAUCAUGAAGGAGUUACAGAAAAAAGACCAUUGGUCCUUCUGCCUCCCAUAAAGAUUUAUGGGGAUCACAUCUCUCAGUGGGGAGAUGAGGCAGUAAAAUAGGGUGUGGAGGCAGGGAACAUAAGGCUGAUUCAUCCUUCAGCUACGACAGGAAAUAUCCUCUCCAUAGAGCAUACACCGAGUAAAUGACUUUGUAACUUUACUUCACCCUCUUCACUUACAUAGGGUGUACUCCAAGUAGAGGGUAUUUAAACUCACAAAAACUCUGUAACAGGGCCUUCGAGCCCCUAUGCUUUGGCCGGCUCCCACAUUGUGGAGUGUACUUUCAUUUUCAAUAAAUCCCUUUGUCCCUUC